AAUCGAUAUUAAACUCUAUGUAUUAGAGUCUAAUUGGUUCGUGAGAUAUGGGUAUGGUUCAUGGGAUUUGGUCCAUGAGGUUUGGUGUAUGGUUUGUGGGGUUUGGUCCAUGAGGUUUGGUUUUGGCUCAUGGGAUUUGGUCCACGAGGUUUGGUUUUGGUUCAUGGGAUUUGGUCCAUGAACUUGGUUUUGGUUUAUGGGAUUUGGUCCAUGAGGUUUGGUUUUGGUUCAUGGGAUUUGGUCCACGAGGUUUGGUUUUGGUUCAUGGGAUUUGGUUCAUGAACUUGGUUUUGGCUCAUGGAGUUUGGUCCAUGAACUUGGUUUUGGCUCAUGGGAUUUGGUCCACGAAUUUGGUUUUGGCUCAUGGGAUUUGGUCCAUGAGGUUGGUUUUGGUUCAUGGGAUUUGGUCCAUGAACUUGGUUUUGGCUCAUGGAGUUUGGUCCAUGAGGUUUGGUUUUGGUUCAUGGGAUUUGGUCUAUGAGAUUUGGUUUUGGUUCAUGGGAUUUGGUCCAUGAACUUGGUUUUGGCUCAUAGGAUUUGGUCCAUGAGGUUUUGGUUUUGGUUCAUGGGAUUUGGUCCAUGAACUUGGUUUUGUAUGUGGACUUGGUUUGGUUUGGGCUUAUUUAGGUUCGAGUUUGGGUUCUGGUUUUAUGAGUGGACUUGGUUUGGGUUUGGAUUUAUUUGGGUCCAAGUUUGGGUUUAUUUGGGUUUUGGGUUUAGGUUUAUUUGGGUUUGGGUUUGGGUUUGAUUUUGAGUUCGGGUUUUGGUCUUAUUUGUGAACUUGGUUCAGGUUGGGUUUGGAUUUGAUUUGGGUUUGGGUUUUGGUUUUAUGUGUGGAAUGGUUUGGAUUUUAUUUGGGUUUGGGUUUUGGUUUGAUUUGAGUUUGGGUUUUGGUUUUAUUUGGGGAAUGGGUUUGGAUUUUAUUUGGGUUUGUAGGUGAACUUAAUUUGCAAUUUGGGUUCGCAUAUGAACUUAAUUUGCAAUUUGGGUUCGCAUAUGAACUUAAUUUGCAGU
rnacentral:lncRNA from 1 species